rnacentral:rRNA from 1 species
AAAGUGGCGAACGGGUGAGUAACACGUGGGUAAUCUGCCUCGAAGUGGGGGAUAACUAUUGGAAACGAUAGCUAAUACCGCAUAGUCUUUUCUUUAUGGGAAUAAAGAUGAGUAAAGCUCCGGCGCUUCGAGAGGAGCCUGCGUCCAAUUAGCUAGUUGGUGGGGUAAAAGCCUACCAAGGCGACGAUUGGUAGCUGGUCUGAGAGGACGAUCAGUCACACGGGAACUGAGACACGGUCCCG